CAGGAUUCCCUUAGUAACUGCGAGUGAAGAGGGAAAAGCUCAAAUUUAAAAUCUGGCAGUGUUUUGCUGUCCGAGUUGUAACCUAGAGAAGUGUAGCCUGUGCUGGACCGUGUACAAGUCUCCUGGAAUGGAGCAUCGCAGAGGGUGAGAAUCCCGUCUUUGACAUGGACUACCAGUGCAUUGUGGUUGCGCUCUCAACGAGUCGAGUUGUUUGGGAAUGCAGCUCUAAAUGGGUGGUAAAUUCCAUCUAAAGCUAAAUAUUGGCGAGAGACCGAUAGCGAACAAGUACCGUGAGGGAAAGAUGAAAAGAACUUUGGAAAGAGAGUUAAACAGUAUGUGAAAUUGUUGAAAGGGAAACGUUUGAAGUCAGUCGCGUUGGCUGGGGAUCAACCUGACCAUUUGGUUGGGUGUACUUCCUGGUUGAUGGGUCAACAUCAGUUUUGACUGCCAGAAAAAGGCAGAGGGAAUGUGGCACCUUUUAGGUGUGUUAUAGCUYUCUGUCAUAUAUGGUGGUUGGGACUGAGGAAAGCAGCGUGCCGAAAGGCCGGGUUUCGACCACGUUCACGCUGAGGAUGUUGGCAUAAUGGCUUUAAGCGACCCGUCUUGAAACACGGACCAAGGAGUCUAACAUGCAUGCGAGUGUUUGGGUGGAAAACCCUUACGCGUAAUGAAAGUGAAAGUUGAGAUCCCUGUCAUGGGGAGCAUCGACGCCCGGACCAGAACUUUUGGGACGGAUCUGCGGUAGAGCACGUAUGUUGGGACCCGAAAGAUGGUGAACUAUGCCUGAAUAGGGUGAAGCCAGAGGAAACUCUGGU
rnacentral:rRNA from 1 species